GCUAAGAUUGAGGCUGGGAAAGGAAGUCUUGCUUCAUCCCUCAAGCUUACGAAGGCUCAUCACAAGAGGCACAAAUUUUCUUUUGGAAAAAAAAAAAAAAAAAAACGAAAAGGCUUCGCAGAGGAUUUAGAUCAUUCAAAGCCAAGAUGCCAAGAUAAGGGGAACUAGAAUGGCUUGUUGUGCAGCUAAUGGCUGUGAUCAAAAAUUCAACACAAAAUCAAACUUGAAGAAACAUUUUGAACGCAAACAUGAAAAUCAACAAAAACAAUAUAUAUGCGGUUUUGAAGACUGUAAGAAGACCUUUAAGAAACAUCAGCAGCUGAAAAUCCAUCAGUGCCAGCAUACCAAUGAACCUCUAUUCAAGUGUACCCAGGAAGGAUGUGGGAAACACUUUGCAUCACCCAGCAAGCUGAAACGACAUGCCAAGGCCCACGAGGGCUAUGUAUGUCAAAAAGGAUGUUCCUUUGUGGCAAAAACAUGGACGGAACUUCUGAAACAUGUGAGAGAAACCCAUAAAGAGGAAAUACUAUGUGAAGUAUGCCGGAAAACAUUUAAACGCAAAGAUUACCUUAAGCAACACAUGAAAACUCAUGCCCCAGAAAGGGAUGUAUGUCGCUGUCCAAGAGAAGGCUGUGGAAGAACCUACACAACUGUGUUUAAUCUCCAAAGCCAUAUCCUCUCCUUCCAUGAGGAAAGCCGCCCUUUUGUGUGUGAACAUGCUGGCUGUGGCAAAACAUUUGCAAUGAAA
rnacentral:sRNA from 1 species